rnacentral:lncRNA from 1 species
UCCAUGAUUUCUUAGUGACUACUUUUUUCAAAAGUCAUUUCUCAACCCUUUCUUUGUUAGGGAAAUAUUUAGUCACUAAAUGGCUAACAUAGUUCGAAUUGUACCAUAGUCUGAGAAACUAUUGACACAAUUAAAACCAGUAAGCAAACAAAAAUCUCUCAAAGAAAAAAUCAAUUUUUGACCAUUUAAAAGAACUGAAAAGUAGUUGUCAGUAGACUUUGACAACUCAUACUUCAUUAGAAGAUGAAUGGACUGAUUUUGCAUACAGAUUGGGGGCAGAUCUAAUAAAUAACCAAAAUACGUUUUCUUGAAAACACGUAAUUGGUUUGGGGAUAAUAAAGCCUUUAUCUGGC